CCUUGUGAGGAAAUGCUGUCGGGAGACGCUGGCAUUGUGUCAUCAGCAUUUACGUCGUCUUAAGCUUCAGUUGCCCGAGAUCAACUGUGGUUCAGAAGCAGAUGGUCCUCCUGACGUAUCUUCUAACGGUACAUCAGAAUACCUACAUCAUUUACCUCACUCUAUUUCAUCACACAGGCAUUUUGUCAUUUCAUGUCACCACAAAAAGGGGGAAUAAAACUUUGCAGGGCAUCGUGGCUCCAAUUUGGUGGGGAUCAAGCAGCACCUCUCACCAAGAAGAAGGGAAAGAAUGAGGUGGAUCGUGGUAGCAGGAGUGCGUAGCAGAUCUGACGUCAGCUAGCCUCCCAAAGAGUCAGAUGGAGCCCUAGCUGGCAGCAACGGGGAGCAGGGAAGCUGGCUUCUUUCAAUCAGUCAUGCUGUGGAGUGCAGUGAGGACACCUCUCCCAAAGCUGCCGGAGCUGCAAGCCUGCCCCAGCAAGAUGAGAGGGAAGUCGGGAAGGCCAGGUAAGUUCAUUGAAAUAGCAAUCGGCUGGCGAAAUCCAGACUGGGAAACUUAGUCAAAUAGCCUGGGGGUUUCAACAGGUAAUUCUAAGGAGAAGAGGAAUGGAGGGGGAACUGAAGAUUAAAAGAGACGUGAA